CCUACGGGAGGCAGCAGUGGGGAAUAUUGCACAAUGGGGGAAACCCUGAUGCAGCGACGCCGCAUGAGUGAAGAAGCGCCUCGGCGCGUAAAGCUCUGUCAGCAGGAACGAUAAUGACGGUACCUGAAGAAGAAGCCCCGGCUAACUACGUGCCAGCAGCCGCGGUAAUACGUAGGGGGCAAGCGUUAUCCGGAUUUACUGGGUGUAAAGGGAGCGUAGACGGCUAAUCAAGUCAGAAGUGAAAACCCAGGGCUCAACCUUGGGACUGCUUUUGAAACUGAGUAGCUAGAGUGCAGGAGAGGUAAGCGGAAUUCCUAGUGUAGCGGUGAAAUGCGUAGAUAUUAGGAGGAACACCAGUGGCGAAGGCGGCUUACUGGACUGUAACUGACGUUGAGGCUCGAAAGCGUGGGGAGCAAACAGGAUUAGAUACCCCAGUAGUC
rnacentral:rRNA from 1 species